UUUUAAAUUAUACUUUAAGUUCUAGGGUACAUGUACACAACGUGCAGGUUUGUAACAUAUGUAUACAUCUGCCAUGCAGGAUGACUGCUUGAGGCCAGGAGUUCGAGAUCAGCCUGGACAACAUAACAUAGGGAAGCCCCAUCUCUACUGAAGGUCAGGACCGCAGCGCCAGCCCGCCGCGGUCACGUGACGCCGCCGGGAGGCGCAGCGCGGCUGAUUCAUCCCAGGCCAGGCGAGUGGAAAAGUACCAGCCGCGCGCGAGGGUUUCUAAUCAUUUCUUAAUCUUCAUCUCAAAAAGAAUCUCACUACCAUUAAAAAAGUCAAAAGGCAUUCUUCAGACUAAAUUGGUGUCUCUUUUGCUUUGUUGCUUUUUCUUCCUUUCUUAAAAUCUUCUGGAAUGACUGAAACCUAGGAAGCA
rnacentral:lncRNA from 1 species